ACUCUGACCCUCUUAAGGUAGCCAAAUGCCUUGCCGGGUAAGUUCCGGCGUGCAUGAAUGGAUCAACGAGGUCCCCACUGUCCCGGCCCGGGGCCCGGCGAACCCACCUCCAGGUGCACAGUCCUGGGACCCCCGACGGGGCGAGAAGUCCCUAUGGAGCUUCACAGCAGCCUGUCGUUGCGGGGGGGCGGGGGGUGCAGAGCGUAGGUGGGAGCGAUGAAACGGGGUCUCCGGGCCCCGUGGAUGCGACCCUGGAACACCACCCACUCUCCGCCCCUCCGCUUACCCGCCGCAAGGCGGGGACAGCGGCAGGCGGGCUGUUCGGCUGGGGCGGCACACCCCUGAAAAGAUAUCGGGGGUGCCCAAAGCUCGGCUCAGGCGGGUCAGAAAUCCGCCGUAGAGUGUAAGGGCAAAAGCCGGGCUGACUGGGCCCUUGAACGCAAGGGGCCCAGGCGGGAAACCGGGGCCUAGAGAACGCUCGUGCCCCCACCAGUGGGGGCCGGGCAUGACAGAAAAGUUACCCUAGGAAUAACCGGCUCGUCGCGGGUGAGAGUCCCCAUCGACCCCGCGGUUUGGUACCCAGACGUCGUCUCUUCCCAUCCUGGCGGUGCAGCAGCCGCCAAGGGUGGGGCUGCCCGCCCAUUAAAGGGGAACGUGAGAUGGGUUCAGACCGUCGCGAGACAGGUCGGUCUCUACCUGUCGGGGGCGCUGGCCGCCUGAGGGGAAGGUGCCCUCAGUACGAGAGGAACGGGGCGCCGCGGCCUCUAGUGUACCGGUUGUCCGGCAGGGCACUGCCGGGCAGCCACGCCGUAGGGGAUAACCGCUGAACGCAUCUAAGCGGGAAGCCCUCCCCGAGACGAGGCGGCCGUUGCCCUGGGGGCAACCCCGGGGCACGAGGGCUCCCGUAGAAGACGGGGUUGAUGGGGGGGCGGUGUAACCCCCGAGGGUCUCCCCGAGGGGGGAGCCGGCCCCUCCCAAUCGCCCGAGCGUGCGGGGC
rnacentral:rRNA from 1 species